rnacentral:rRNA from 1 species
UACGUAGGGUGCAAGCGUUGUCCGGAAUUAUUGGGCGUAAAGGGCUCGUAGGUGGUUUGUCGCGUCGGGAGUGAAAACACUGGGCUUAACUCAGUGCUUGCUUCCGAUACGGGCAGACUAGAGGUAUGCAGGGGAGAACGGAAUUCCUGGUGUAGCGGUGAAAUGCGCAGAUAUCAGGAGGAACACCGGUGGCGAAGGCGGUUCUCUGGGCAUUACCUGACGCUGAGGAGCGAAAGUGUGGGGAGCGAACAGG